CCUACGGGAGGCUGCAGUGGGGAAUAUUGCACAAUGGGGGAAACCCUGAUGCAGCGACGCCGCGUGAGUGAAGAAGUAAUUCGUUAUUGAAAGCUCUAUCAGCAGGGGAGAAAAUGACGGUACCUGAGUAAGAAGCCCCGGCUAACUACGUGCCAGCAGCCGCGGUAAUACGGAGGGCGCAAGCGUUAUCCGGAUUUACUGGGUGUAAAGGGAGCGUAGACGGCAGUGCAAGUCUGGAGUGAAAGGCGGGGGCUCAACCCCCGGACUGCUCUGGAAACUGUACGGCUGGAGUGCAGGAGAGGUAAGUGGAAUUCCUAGUGUAGCGGUGAAAUGCGUAGAUAUUAGGAGGAACACCAGUGGCGAAGGCGGCUUACCGGACUGCAACUGACGUUGAGGCUCGAAAGCGUGGGGAGCAAACAGGAUUAGAUACCCCUGUAGUC
rnacentral:rRNA from 1 species